GACAGAGGUCCCGAGCGUUAGGCGGAAUCACUGGGCUUAAAGCGUGUGUAGGCGGCGGCCUAAGUACCUUGUGAAAUCCCACGGCUCACCCGUGGAACUGCUCGGUAUACUGGGUCGCUUGAGCCACUUAGGGGCUACCGGAACAAAUGGUGGAGCGGUGAAAUGCGUAGAUAUCGGGAGGAACACCUGAGGCGAAGGCGGGCUACUGGGCUGAUACUGACGCUGAUGCGCGAAAGCCAGGGGAGCGAACGGG
rnacentral:rRNA from 1 species